UGGGCUGUGUCCCCUCAGUGAUGGGGGGUUGCCACGUGGGCCGUAGCGUCUCAGUGCAGGUCAGGCACAGGCUACGAGGGAACCAGACACCACACCUGCACUCGGCAAGCUCAGCAUCUGGAGAGGACACAAGGGCAUAAUCCCGAAGAAGAGAAUUUUUAACUAAGAAGUCACUUCUAAAGUUCAAAUGGACAAAAAACAUAUAGUGAUGGCCAGAAAAAUUCUAAACAGUCACGAU
rnacentral:lncRNA from 1 species